rnacentral:rRNA from 1 species
CUAAAAGACCAUCCCAGUUCGGAUCGCAGGCUGCAACCCGCCUGCGUGAAGUUGGAAUCGCUAGUAAUCGCGGAUCAGCAUGCCGCGGUGAAUACGUUCCCGGGCCUUGUACACACCGCCCGUCACACCAUGAGAGUCGGGAACACCCGAAGUCCGUAGCCUAACCGCAAGGGGGGCGCGGCCGAAGGUGGGUUCGAUAAUUGGGGUGAAGUCGUAACAAGGUACC